UUGGAGGGCAAGUCUGGUGCCAGCAGCCGCGGUAAUUCCAGCUCCAAUAGCGUAUAUUAAAGUUGUUGCAGUUAAAAAGCUCGUAGUUGAAUUUCGGGGUCAGUAGGUUGGUCAUGCCACUGGUAUGUACUGGUCUCACUGAUUCCUCCUUCCUGAUGAACUGUAAUGCCAUUAAUUUGGUGUUGCAGGGAAUCUGGACUGUUACUUUGAAAAAAUUAGAGUGUUUAAAGCAGGCUAACGCCUGAAUACAUUAGCAUGGAAUAAUGAAAUAGGACGUUCGAUCCUAUUUUGUUGGUUUCUAGGAUUGACGUAAUGAUUAAUAGGGAUAGUUGGGGGCAUUAGUAUUCAAUUGUCAGAGGUGAAAUUCUUGGAUUUAUUGAAGACUAACUACUGCGAAAGCAUUUGCCAAGGAUGUUUUCAUUAAUCAAGAACGAAAGUUAGGGGAUCGAAGACGAUCAGAUACCGUCGUAGUCUUAACCAUAAACUAUGCCGACUAGGGAUCGGAUGAUGUUAAUUUUUUAAUGACUCAUUCGGCGCCUUACAGGAAAC
rnacentral:rRNA from 1 species